rnacentral:rRNA from 1 species
GUAGGUGGCAAGCGUUGUCCGGAAUUAUUGGGCGUAAAGCGCGCGCAGGCGGUUCUUUAAGUCUGAUGUGAAAGCCCACGGCUCAACCGUGGAGGGUCAUUGGAAACUGGAGAACUUGAGUACAGAAGAGGAAAGCGGAAUUCCACGUGUAGCGGUGAAAUGCGUAGAGAUGUGGAGGAACACCAGUGGCGAAGGCGGCUUUCUGGUCUGUAACUGACGCUGAGGCGCGAAAGCGUGGGGAGCAAACAGGGAUUAGAUACCCUGGUAGUCCACGCCGUAAACGAUGAGUGCUAAGUGUUAGGGGGUUUCCGCCCCCUUAGUGCUGCAGCUAACGCAUUAAGCACUCCGCCUGGGGAUACGACCGCAAGGUUG